UGGUAGGGUAGAGGCCUACCAAGGCGACGAUGGGUAGCCGGCCUGAGAGGGUGGGCGGCCACACUGGGACUGAGAACGGCCCAGACUCCUACGGGAGGCAGCAGUGGGGAAUAUUGGGCAAUGGGGGAAACCCUGACCCAGCGACGCCGUGUGAGCGAUGAAGGCCUUCGGGUUGUAAAGCUCUGUCACAGGGGAAGAAUAGAUGACGGUACCCUGGGAGGAAGCCCCGGCUAACUACGUGCCAGCAGCCGCGGUAACACGUAGGGGGCGAGCGUUAUCCGGAAUCACUGGGCGUAGAGGGCACGUAGGCGGUUAAUCGUGUCAGGUGUAAAAGAUCGGGGCUCAACCCCGUAUAGGCACAUGAAACUGAUUAACUUGAGAACAGGCGAGGCAAGUGGAAUUCCUGGUGUAGCGGUGAAAUGCGUAGAUAUCAGGAGGAACACCAGUGGCGAAGGCGACUUGCUGGACUGGUUCUGACGCUGAGGUGCGAAAGCGUGGUUAGCAAACAGGAUUAGAUACCCUGGUAGUCCACGCCGUAAACGAUGGGUACUGGGUGUAGGGGGUGUUGACACCUUCUGUGCCGCAGCGAA
rnacentral:rRNA from 1 species